rnacentral:rRNA from 1 species
AUUGAACGCUGGCGGCAGGCUUAACACAUGCAAGUCGAACGAGCGGCGGACGGGUGAGUAAUGUAUGGGGAUCUGCCUGAUGGAGGGGGAUAACUACUGGAAACGGUAGCUAAUACCGCAUACCAUCAGAUGAACCCAUGUGGGAUUAGCUUGUAGGUGAGGUAACGGCUCACCUAGGCGACGAGCCCUAGCUGGUCUGAGAGGAUGAUCAGCCAAACUGGGACUGAGACACGGCCCAGACUCCUACGGGAGGCAGCAGUGGGGAAUAUUGAACAAUGGGCGAAAGCCUGAUGCAGCCACGCCGCGUGUAUGAAGAAGGCCUUCGGGUUGUAAAGUACUUUUAGUCGGGAGGCGUUACCGACAGAAGAAGCACCGGCUAACUCCGUGCCAGCAGCCGCGGUAAUAC